rnacentral:tRNA from 1 species
GGAUAUAGUUCUGUGAUAGAGCACUUGCCUACCAUGCAUGAGAUCCUAGGUUUGAUCCCUAGCACUGCA